rnacentral:rRNA from 1 species
GAUGAACGCUAGCUACAGGCUUAACACAUGCAAGUCGAGGGGCAGCAUGAAAGGAACUUCGGUUCUUUUUGAUGGCGACCGGCGCACGGGUGCGUAACGCGUAUCGAACCUGCCUCAUACUCGGGGAUAGCCUUGCGAAAGUAAGAUUAAUACCCGGCGGUCUCGGAUGGCCGCAUGACUAUCCGAGUGAAGAUUUAUCGGUAUGAGAUGGCGAUGCGUCCCAUUAGCUAGUUGGUGAGGUAAUGGCUCACCAAGGCACCGAUGGGUAGGGGUUCUGAGAGGAAGGUCCCCCACAUUGGAACUGAGACACGGUCCAAACUCCUACGGGAGGCAGCAGUGAGGAAUAUUGGUCAAUGGACGAAAGUCUGAACCAGCCAAGUAGCGUGCAGGAAGACGGCCCUCUGGGUUGUAAACUGCUUUUAGUUGGGAAUAAAAAGAGGGACGUGUCCCUUAUUGUAUGUACCAUCAGAAAAAGGACCGGCUAAUUCCGUGCCAGCAGCCGCGGUAAUACGGAAGGUCCAGGCGUUAUCCGGAUUUAUUGGGUUUAAAGGGAGCGCAGGCGGCGGCGUAAGUCAGUUGUGAAAUCGUGCGGCUUAACCGUGCAAUUGCAGUUGAUACUGCGUCGCUUGAGUGCACACAGGGAUGUUGGAAUUCAUGGUGUAGCGGUGAAAUGCUUAGAUAUCAUGAAGAACUCCGAUCGCGAAGGCAUAUGUCCGGAGUGCAACUGACGCUGAGGCUCGAAAGUGUGGGUAUCAAACAGG